rnacentral:lncRNA from 1 species
ACGCUUUUUGUUUGAAGAUCAGUUUAUCAAAGAUCUAGAGAAACAUGUAAAAGAUGAAUUUGCCAAAUAGGAAUUUGGCAAAAAUCCUUUUGGAACUUCACUCCAUGAAUACUGGCACUGUUGGGGGACACUACCAUUGAUUUGAAUGGAGAUGUCGAGUUUCAGGAAAUUGUGUCACAAUUUCCUAUCACUAAUGUGGAUAUCCUCAAUGAUGUUAAUGAGUGGAGAGGGACCAGCAGUGUUAUAAAAAAGUAGUCCUAUUUUUGAAAACCAUUGGAGGGAUAACCCUGAAGGUUAUUAAAAAGGGUGUUCGCCAAUCAAUUAAUUGCCCAAGCCAGCAGGCUGGGGCACAGUUGUGGCGGAAAAAAAAAUUGCAAGCUUAGCAACUUAAAAUUGAUUUCUGCCAUUAAAGGUAUGUCAUUCAACUAGAAGAUUCUGACUAAGUUGAGAAAUUUUAUUAGUUACGUAGACAAUACCAAAACAGUAGAAUGGAAUAAUAAAUUUGACACAGCACAAUAGUUUCUGUUUAUUGGUAUGUGCUGAUGAUUAACCAAGGUAUGAGUGUGUCUGUCUAACCAAUAAAAAUUCUAAAUUAUGCUUUUUAUAAUGUCUUGGUACAUAUUACUGAAUUUAUCAUAAAACUAGUUUUAAGUUUUUAAGGUAAAUUCUUUAAUUAAACUAAUGCUUCUAGGAUGAGGUUGAUGUUUGAGUAUUAAAAACGUGCUAAAAUUUUUUUUGAUAUUAGAAAAAUGAUUGAAGUUGAAAGGGGUUGGAAAGAGAUUUUUUUUAGGAGAAACCUUUUUAGUUGAGAGAGAGAGAUUAGACAAGAAAAGAGGGAAGUUAUGCUGUAAUUGCAAAGUAGGUUUUUUAUUUGAUAUGCAUAAAUAUAUGACAUCACAAAACUUUCGACUUGAUUUUUGCAAAACAAAAUUAUUUUCGCUUUAUCUUGAUAUAUCGCACCCUCAGUGCAAAACUGUUGUAAGUCAAAAAUUUUAUGAAAAUGAAGUAAUCAUGGCAUUUGCUUGUAAACAUGCAUAUCUAUCCCGUGUAAAAUUUUAGGAACUUUCAAAUGCUUAACCGGCUAAAUAUCACAACUAUCACACCGACAUUAGCACAGCGAUAUACACACGAAAAUAAACAAAAUCGUCUUUAUCUCGAAACUUACUUAUUUUGCCUUACAACAGUCUUGCACUGAGGGUGCAAUAUAUGUAAUAUUAAACUAAAUAAAAUGA